rnacentral:lncRNA from 1 species
CUGUGGCACUUGAUUGCCCUGGUGGUGUUUACCUCACAAAUGCUGCCUGAUUCAGGCCAGAGGGAAGGCAAAGCCAGUGAAAAGAGCUCCACGGGCUAGAAGAGGGUGGACCCAGGAGGAGAUGGCCUCCCCCUGUCCCUGACUCAACUGGAGCUCAGUUCACUCUGCUUUGAAGGAGUAGGAGGAGAACGCUACUCACAAAAAGGGGGGCAAGAACCGGCUUGGUCACCAUUGUAUUCCGGCACCACAGCAUAAGCACUCGAUCAUUAUGGGUUAAAGGUUGAAAUUCAAAAAGAAAAAGGGAGAUGUUAGACACCUACUGACCAAGGAGGUGCCCUCCAUCCUGCUUAACCACCGCCCAGGCCAGUCAUUGCUCUCCCUGGAAGACUUUGAGUCAUUCACGUGCAAGGAAAAUUAGAGACAGGGUUUCACUAUGUUGGUCUCAAACUCCUGACCUCAAGCGAUCCACCUGCCUCAGACUCCCAAAGUGCUGGGAUUACAGAUGUGAGCCACUGCCACCCAGCCAAAUAAAGGACAAGAGUAGCAAAGAGGGUUAUGAGCAGUACAAUACAAAACGAGGCUGAAACAAAAG